UGCUGCCACAACCACAGUGCUCAGGCAGCCUCAUCCUCUCCCUUGUCUCUCACCUGCCCUUUUGUGGGCUCCUGAGAAAGCUCCAUGUCAGCAGCAGGUUUGGGGUCUGUCUGUGUGUGUGAGCUCUGCAGUCAAGCCUAGAAAAUGUAACUGCAUCUCAACUAACUGCAUAGCCAGUGGUAAGAAGCUGGAUCAUCUUUCUUCAUCUCCUCACUGUCUUCCCAGAAUUUGAAAGUGUGACAAAGUAUUUCAUCCCUUUACAGGAUUAGGGAUGCGGAUUUGUCUCUGACUGAGGUGCUGCUGACUGGUUCACUGCCUGGUAGACGGUGUCUCUUAAGACCUGAUUUAACCUGAAGCAUACACUUUCUCAGGAGGUCUGCAACAGGGCUGAAGAAUUGCAAAUGUUGCAUCCUUUCCCUCCUGUCAUUUGCUUCCACACGACUGCAGUGCCUGUACUGUGCUCUCAGCUCACUCACCCUGAAAUUCUCCUUGUGUUGGAGAUUUGUACUGAGUUGGUACAAAGUGGACUUUGCUUUUGGUGGCAGUAUCCCUUGUUGCCGUGUCAUUCACGGAGAAGAUGGGUUUAUUCCACUGGUACCAGCUGCUCUACACACAGGAACCAAAAGUGGCAAAUCUACAUCCUCUUUCAAUUUUCAAUUGAAGGUCUACACCACAGGAACUUCUUGGGGUUUUUGGAGAGGUAAAGAUUUUUAAAAAAAAAAACCACCACGUUGAACCCAAGUUGGAGAAACAACUGCAUCAUGUGGCUGAUACAGUGCAUGGGAGUACAAAGCAUUCCCAUUCCAUCUGGUCUUGCACAUCCACUCCCCCUAGCUAUUAAAUGUGAUAGCUGUUAGGCAUGAGUGUAGACCCGGAGAUGGGCAGGACUAGUCUGCUAUGCAAACAGUUAUCUGAUGGCCCCAUCCUAUUUUCUAGAAAAAAAAGAUUUCACUGUGGUAAAGUGGACAUCUUAAAGCAUUGUAGGAGAUAGGGGGAUGUAACUGCACUUACCUGAGUUUGGAUUAGGCAUAUCUCACGUCUUAGAGUUUGCCAGUAAAUAACAAAGUAUAUGAUCAAUGGAAAUAUGACCUUCCCAAUCUGCAACUACAAAAAAGAAAAGGACAGUCUUGAAAAUCCAGCAAUCUUUCAAAUCAUCUUAAAGCAUAUUGACCCUGAAUCAUCACAGUGAAAUUCAAUAGGGGUGUUCCUAUUAGUGAUCUAAGAAUAUAGAUGUGGUUGAAUGCAUGGAAAACUGUAUCUUGUUCCAGUUAUCUUUAUUACUGUAAUAAAUGAUACUAACUCUCUCUCCCUACA